AGAAAGGCUUUUUUCAAAGCCAUUGUAGAAAAUUACAAAACUUUAGU
rfam:Heterocephalus glaber contig273813, whole genome shotgun sequence.